rnacentral:rRNA from 1 species
GAUGAACGCUGGCGGCGUGCUUAACACAUGCAAGUCGAACGGGAAGGGGUGGCUCCUGUGGCGUACGGGUGAGUCACGCGGAAGAACCUCCCGUGGGUAGCGUACCCACAACUGGAGACUGAUUCUAAUACCCCGUAGCCAGUGGCGCAUAAGAAGGAAUCCGCCCGAGGGGGGGCUUGCGUCUGAUUGGCUAGGUGGUGAGGUAAUAGCUUACCAAGCCGAUGAUUAGGAGGUUGUCCGAGAGGAUGAUCAGCCGGGCUGGGACGGAGACACGGAGCAGACUCCUGCGGGAAGCAGUAGGGAGGAAUGUACCGCAAUGGGCGGCAGGAUGCAGGAGCACUGCGGCGGGGAGGACGAACGUCGAGGGGUAGUGAACUUCCGUCCGCGAAGAAGAAAGAGUGACGGUAACUGAGGAAGAAGCACCGGCUAACUCUGUG